rnacentral:misc_RNA from 1 species
UAAUAAGUGUUUUAUGGCACUUUUUAAAUCCAUAUCCACCUUGUGUGCAAUGUCAGUCGAUCUUCUUCAUGGAGAUCGACCAAACAUCAACCUUUAUCUUUUAACUCUUUGUCUGAAAAAUAUUAUGAAUAAACAAUUCAAAAUAC